rnacentral:rRNA from 1 species
AUUGAACGCUGGCGGCAGGCCUAACACAUGCAAGUCGAGCGGAUGAAGGGAGCUUGCUCCUGGAUUCAGCGGCGGACGGGUGAGUAAUGCCUAGGAAUCUGCCUGGUAGUGGGGGAUAACGUCCGGAAACGGGCGCUAAUACCGCAUACGUCCUGAGGGGGAAGGUGGGGGAUCUUCGGACCUCACGCUAUCAGAUGAGCCUAGGUCGGAUUAGCUAGUUGGUGGGGUAAAGGCCUACCAAGGCGACGAUCCGUAACUGGUCUGAGAGGAUGAUCAGUCACACUGGAACUGAGACACGGUCCAGACUCCUACGGGAGGCAGCAGUGGGGAAUAUUGGACAAUGGGCGAAAGCCUGAUCCAGCCAUGCCGCGUGUGUGAAGAAGGUCUUCGGAUUGUAAAGCACUUUAAGUUGGGAGGAAGGGCAGUAAGUUAAUACCUUGCUGUUUUGACGUUACCAACAGAAUAAGCACCGGCUAACUUCGUG